rnacentral:lncRNA from 1 species
AACCUCGUAUAGGCAGGUGAAAUCAAAGUUUUAUUUAUUGCUAGAAGUUCCAAAAGACCUUUUACAUGUUGUAUUUAUUUAACUAUUAGUAAAAUGCUCAUAUUUUAUUGAUCUAUUUGAUUUGAAAAAGUAUAAAAUCACAACUUACUGCUUAAACUACGUUUGUAUAAAAUAAUACAACUCUAAAAAUAAAAAUGAACUUCAUAUUGCUCGUUCUAUUUGCUUCUAUCCUAAUCUUGGUUCCAACUGCAGAGAGCUUUGCUGGAGGACGAGGUGGUAAAAGGGACGAAGAAACUGAGACAGAUAAACUACUUGAGGCAAUUUCGUAUAUAGACUAUGGCAAUUAUAGAAACCGAGACUCUGGCUACAAAUUUCAAAAUACUAGGCGAAUUUUAGAUCGAUGCUCGGUAUUUUGCGAUUUCGCAAAUGAUUAUUAUGACGCAUGCGUUAAGCAGUGUGAAAAGCAAUAUGGUCUCACACAAUAAAAUGUAGCAAGGAUGUUGUAAAAUGUUAAAAUAUAAUAUGUAAAACUGACGUUUAUUUUAUAAUGUAUUAAACUUUUUUAAAUUAAUUUUAUGAAAACUU